rnacentral:rRNA from 1 species
UACAGAGGUGCCAAGCGUUGUUCGGAUUUAUUGGGCGUAAAGGGUGCGUAGGCGGUUGUGUAAGUCGGGUGUGAAAUUCCGGAGCCUAACUCCGGAACUGCAUUCGAAACUACACAGCUCGAGGUCUGGAGAGGUGACUGGAAUUCUUGGUGUAGCAGUGAAAUGCGUAGAUAUCAAGAGGAACACCAGAGGCGAAAGCGAGUCACUGGACAGAACCUGACGCUGAGGCACGAAAGCUAGGGCAGCAAACGGG